rnacentral:rRNA from 1 species
GGGGAAUAUUGCGCAAUGGGCGAAAGCCUGACGCAGCGACGCCGCGUGAGGGAUGAAGGUUUUCGGAUCGUAAACCUCUGUCAGACGGGAAGAAACCGCACCGUGCUAAUCAGCGGUGCCUUGACGUUACCAACAGAAUAAGCACCGGCUAACUUCGUGCCAGCAGCCGCGGUAAUACGAAGGGUGCAAGCGUUAAUCGGAAUUACUGGGCGUAAAGCGCGCGUAGGUGGUUUGGUAAGAUGGAUGUGAAAUCCCCGGGCUCAACCUGGGAACUGCAUCCAUAACUGCCUGACUAGAGUACGGUAGAGGGUGGUGGAAUUUCCUGUGUAGCGGUGAAAUGCGUAGAUAUAGGAAGGAACACCAGUGGCGAAGGCGACCACCUAGACUGACACUGACACUGAGGUGCGAAAGCGUGGGGAGCAAACA